rnacentral:rRNA from 2 species
CUGGCAUCUUGCCGGGUCGAAAGCUCCGGCGUGCAGGAUGAGCCCGCGGCCUAUCAGCUUGUUGGUGAGGUAAUGGCUCACCAAGGCGACGACGGGUAGCCGGCCUGAGAGGGCGACCGGCCACACUGGGACUGAGACACGGCCCAGACUCCUACGGGAGGCAGCAGUGGGGAAUAUUGCACAAUGGGCGCAAGCCUGAUGCAGCGACGCCGCGUGAGGGAUGACGGCCUUCGGGUUGUAAACCUCUUUCAGCAGGGAAGAAGCGAAAGUGACGGUACCUGCAGAAGAAGCGCCGGCUAACUACGUGCCAGCAGCCGCGGUAAUACGUAGGGCGCAAGCGUUGUCCGGAAUUAUUGGGCGUAAAGAGCUCGUAGGCGGUUUGUCGCGUCGGUUGUGAAAGCCCGGGGCUUANCCCCGGGUCUGCAGUCGAUACGGGCNGNCUAGAGUUCGGUAGGGGNGAUCGNNAUUCCNGGUGUAGCGGUGAAAUGCGCAGAUAUCAGGAGGAACACCGGUGGCGAAGGGGGAUCUCUGGGCCGAUACUGACGCUGAGGAGCGAAAGCGGGGGGAGCGAACAGGAUUAGAUCCCCUGGUAGCCCACGCCGAAAACGGGGGGCACUAGGGUGUGGGCAAAUUUCCACGUUGCCCGGGCCGCAGCUAACGNAUUAAGUGCCCCGCCUGGGGGGGUACNNCCGCNAGUNAAAANUCAAAG